rnacentral:lncRNA from 1 species
GUUCUUUUCUUUUUCUUUUUUUCUUAAAGAGAUGGGAAGGUCAUUUUGGUAGCAUGUCCAAGGCCCCUGGACCAGUUAGUUGCAGUCUGGACACAGGAACUGACUUCUGAUGUCUGCAGGCUGGUAGAGGUUCAUCCUUGCAUUUUAAACAGCGUUUCCGUGCCUCAGUCUUCUGCAGGGUCAACCUUUGGUCUCUAACCUCAUCCCAACUAGACCAGUGAUUCAGCCGCAGGCGUCGGAUUAUACAGGCAGGUUACAGGGUGCCAGGAGACCUCCAGACUCCCAAAUAGACGGGCGCAGUGUGCUGCAGGACUGAACUCUGUCCUUACUGCAGACGAAACUAGGGACGCCCUGAGCAUCACACAUGCUAGAUGCCGAGGGUUUUAGAUGAAAUUUCUCAUCCCACCCUUAUAAUUCCACUAUGAAGACAAGAACAGGAGGCCCAAAGGGAUCCUUGGCUUCCCUGAGACCGGGGGGUGGAGUUUGGCGUUGAGUUGAGGACUCCACGCUCACCACGUCUAGACACGUCCCACCUUACGGACUGUUCUGCUGUCUCCCGGGGGUUCAAAAAGAGGACUUGACCAAUGGGUCCCUGAGAGUACUCUGGUUGGGGUUCUCCAACAGGCAGAUGACUGGAUUGACAUCCAAGGGUCAGUCAGGCCUGUCGGGGCCCAGGACAGGUGACCAAGUACGUGACAGAGUUUUACAAAUGUGUAACACCAUGUCACGCACCUUUCCAGGGAGGGGCCAAACAGACAGUUGAUCUGAGCACGGGACGGGGUGAGGAGUUUGCUGGGGCCCCUGAAGCUGCUGUGUCAUCACAGAGCGUCAGCAGACCUCGCUGUUCAAAGUGUUCUCUGCAACUAGCAGCAUCCACAGGCGGGAGGGAGCUUGCAGGGAAUGCAGGAUCUCCAGGGGCCCCGGGCCUGCUGCACCAGAAUCUGCAUUUAGCAAGGUGCCCGGGUGGCUGCAGUGACACUAAUGAUGGAGAAGCUCGGCAGCCUCUGGCUUCACUCCAAGCUGCUGUUGCUGGGCCUCCCCGGAGCCCUCUUGCCUCGGUGACUAGCCUGGGGCUGUGUCUGUCCGAGAGCCACGCAUUGCAGAUGAAGAAUCUGCUGGCCCACCUCCAUCUUACCCUUCUCUCACCUCGUGUACAUUUUUAACGCAGGAAUCGAUGUGAGAAUUCUUGCGACAUUAAUUUUCUGCCACAAAGUAUUUUGUGGAGCAAAUUCCAUUAAGCCAUUUUAAUCCAGGGUUUAAUUUUCUAUUCAGCUCAUCUAAGC